rnacentral:rRNA from 1 species
AUACCAUUUUGUUGCCUCGGCGGUGCCUGUUCCGACAGCCCGCCAGAGGACCCCAAACCCAAACUUCCUUGAGUGAGUCUUCUGAGUAACCGAUUAAAUCAAUCAAAACUUUCAACAACGGAUCUCUUGGUUCUGGCAUCGAUGAAGAACGCAGCGAAAUGCGAUAAGUAAUGUGAAUUGCAGAAUUCAGUGAAUCAUCGAAUCUUUGAACGCACAUUGCGCCCGCCAGUAUUCUGGCGGGCAUGCCUGUUCGAGCGUCAUUACAUCCCUCAAGCCCCCGGGCUUGGUGUUGGGGAUCGGCGAGCCUCAGCGCCCGCCGUCCCCUAAAUUUAGUGGCGGUCACGCUGUAACUUCCUCUGCGUAGUAGCACACUUAGCACUGGGAAACAGCGCGGCCACGCCGUAAAACCCCCCAACUUUUGAACGUUUGACCUCGAAUCAGGUAGGACUACCCGCUGAACUUAAGCAUAUCAAA